rnacentral:rRNA from 1 species
UACGGAGGGUGCAAGCGUUAUCCGGAUUCACUGGGUUUAAAGGGUGCGUAGGUGGGCUGGUAAGUCAGUGGUGAAAUCUCCGGGCUUAACUCGGAAACUGCCAUUGAUACUAUCAGUCUUGAAUACCGUGGAGGUCAGUAGAAUAUGUCAUGUAGCGGUGAAAUGCUUAGAUAUGACAUAGAAUACCAAUUGCGAAGGCAGCUGGCUACACGAAUAUUGACACUCAGGCACGAAAGCGUGGGGAUCAAACAUG